GCACCGCUGACGAGUCCCAUACUAGGACGAAACGGUCGUUCAGUGC
rnacentral:hammerhead_ribozyme from 1 species